GUUCUUGUGGUUGAAUACAACGGUGGUUUUUCAAGUCAUUAGUCUUGGUUAAAGUCCAAGUAGGAAUU
rnacentral:tRNA from 1 species